UACGGGGGGGGCAAGCGUUGUUCGGAAUUACUGGGCGUAAAGGGCUCGUAGGCGGCCAACUAAGUCAGACGUGAAAUCCCUCGGCUUAACCGGGGAACUGCGUCUGAUACUGGAUGGCUUGAGUUUGGGAGAGGGAUGCGGAAUUCCAGGUGUAGCGGUGAAAUGCGUAGAUAUCUGGAGGAAUACCGGUGGCGAAGGCGGCAUCCUGGACCGGCAUUGACGCUGAUGAGCGAAAGCUAGGGGAGCAAACGGGG
rnacentral:rRNA from 1 species